GGGAACACAGAACAUGCGGGGGUAAACAGUGAAGGCAGAGUUCUGUAAGGAAGUUAGAGGAUCUAGUGGGGUGUCUUGAGUUCUUCCCUCCUCUGCAUUCUCCUACUGAAAUAGAUCAGAAGACAGCUUCUCAAGUCAGAUGUCUCUAUGGAAUGGUACCUACCUGGGAAAUUUUUUUAAUGUUAAAAUUUUAACUUUAUUAAAAUGGCAGAAUAAUUAGGAAUAAUACAGCAUGACUGUGGGAGGAGAACCAUCAAAUUGGUUGACAUAUGCUUCUAUCAAUCUCAAUAAAUAACCAGGGACAUCGAAUUAAGGACAGUCAUGUGGAACAGGAAUGGACUCUGUGAAGUCUGGAUUUGGGGGCCCUGUGUCCCCAAGUGGGCAUUUGGUAAAAAUUAGUUGAAUGAAUGAAUAAACACUACAGAAGUCAAAGCGUAAGUGGCCUAGGUAUCUUCUCUUUGUCUUACUUUAGAAUCUUGAGAAACAAAUCCGAUUGGCUGAGACAAGACUCUGAAUUGCUUCAUCUUGGAUUAAAUGGACUCACCCUGGUCCAAUUAGCUGUAACCACAAGGGUAGAUCAUACAGUGCAAAUAGUGCUGUCUAUCAGGAAGGAUUUGUUGGCACAGAUUCAUCCGUGUUCCCACACCAGGAUCCCUUCAAGACCAAAUGCAAGGUCAAGAUGGUCUGUCGUCAGCAGAGCGGAUUAGGGAAACCAACUCAUAAUCUUGGCUUCAUAAUUAAGGGCUCUAACCCAGCACUCCUCAAACUUUAAUGUACACACAAGUCACCUGAGAUCUUGUUAAAAGGCAUCACAAAAAUAAAAAGAAUUAUAACUAUGA